GCGCUGCGGGGCCGGGCGGAGCAGGAGGGUCUGUGCCGGGGAGACCCAUUAACCCCCCCGUGCCCGGCCCGCGCCCUGCUCCCGCUGGGGCCGCCCCGGGCUCUGCCCGCCCCGCUGCGGCGCUGCAGCCUCCAGGUGUCUGACUGAGAUCCGGGCUCUUAUCCUUGCCUGAGCUCAGGUCCCCCAGUGUGCUGGGCACUGCAGAAACCCUGACCGAGUUUGGGGGACUCAUUGUGCCAGGAACUGCACAGAUGCCUAUAGAGAGCAGCAACAGAGAGUCCUGUGGCACCUUUGAGACUAACAGAAGUACUGGGAGCAUAAGCUUUCGUGGGCUGCAGAAUAAUGUCCACGUUUGCUCCAGAUCCUCCCAUCCUCCCUGGGGAAGGAAAUGGCUGCAAUGGAGCUUGCUCAGGUCAUCGAUAAGAAUGUUAAAUAGCACAGGGCCAAGAUCCAAUCCUUGCGGGAACCUGCUAGAAAGAAAUCCACUCGACCAUGGUUCCCCAUUUACAAUCACAGUUUUUAAUCUAUUUAAUGUAUGCCGUGUGUAUUUUGUAACAUUCUAGUUUUUUAGUCAAAAUAUUGUGCUGAACCAAGUCAUAUGCCUUACAGAAGUCUAGGUAUAUUACAUCAAUAAUAUUAGCUGCAACCAAACUUUUGAUCUCAUCCAAUAAGGAUAUCCAGUUAAUUUGAUAGGAUCUAUUUUCUCUAAACAUUUGUUCAUGGGUACUAAUUAUAUUACCCUCCUUUAAUUCUUUAUUAAUAAAUCCAGUAUUGGCUGCUCUAUUAUCUUGUCCAGUAUCGAUGUCAGACUGACACUCUUGUAAUUAGCUGGGUCAUCUCUUUUACACUUUUAAAAUAUUGGGACUGCAUUAGCUUUAUUCCAGUCUUCUGGAAUUUUCCCAGUGUUCCAAGUUCUAAUUAAAAUCAACAUUAACAGUCCACCACGCUCCUCCACCAGGCCUUUUAAAACUCUUGGCUACAAGUUAUCUGGACCUGCUGAUUUAAACAUGUCUAACUUUAAUAGCUGCUGUUUAAUGUCCUCAUGAAUUCUUGUUGGAAUGAAAAGAAUGUCAUCAUCAACAUCUUAUGAUAUGAGUACAACAUCUGUUUUUCUCCAAAUCCAGGAGAGAAAUAUUUAUUGAACACUUUUACCUCUUCUGCAUUAUUUUUGAUAAUUCUGCCAUUUCCGUCGAGUAAUUUACCACUACCAUUGUUAGGAUUAAUUUUGUACUUAAUAUACUGUUAGAAACUUCCUUCUUAUUGUCAUUGAUUGGUCAUUGAUUUCUUAUAGCCAGUCUUCUACAAUUCUGACCUUCUCACUUAUAUUCUUUACUAUUGACUUCCCCUUUCUUCCAUAUAUUUUAUUUGGAGUGUGUUGGGAUUCCUACCAGGAAGCCACCAGCAGGGUCCAGAGACAGCCCCAUCUCCUAUAUCAAGCUCUGGCUAGUAGGGGCCAGUGACCUUCAAGGAGGUGGCUGUGUAUUUCACCAGGGAAGAGUGGGCUCUGCUGGACCCCACUCAGAGAUCCCUCUACAGGGAUCUCAUGCAGGAGAACUAUGAGACGGUGGUCUUUCUGGGUAAGGAGUCCUGUCCCUCGGUUAUUAGAAGCUGUGGGGUCUCUAAAGAACCUGAGUAGUAAUAACUUUAUUCGUCAUACAAGUGUUGACAAGUUUCCUUGCCCCCCUUUUUUUUCCCUUAUCUCCCACCCACUAGAAUAAUUUUUGGACGUGUGCCUUUUCGGUGCCGUCAGUCAUUUUAAAAUUGCAUUUAAUGUAUCCUUAUUGGAUACAUUAAUAACUAUAGGUUUCAUGCCUUUUCCUCCUUUGAAGAGGAAAAUAUGCCACCCGUAGAAUUCUAAAUUGAGUAAAUAGGUCGAUGACUGAUGCAUGGCUUGUGUGACUGUCAGAUGAGCUCAUCUUUUGAUAGGAGAGCGCAUAAUGUUGCCAUUCAGGAUCCCACAGGUGAAGGGAGAACAGAGCCGUGCAAAGCGGGGUAGAAGUGGGGAAGUUGAUAAUUCUGGGGUUCCAAGAAAUGGCGAUGGUGUGUGCAGGGUUAGAGCUAAGAAGCAGCAGGGAUGGAGCGGGUAGUGAGAGACGAGGAGGGAACACAAGAAGCUCCCAAGGUACUGGGAGGUGCUGCCAGCUGAGAGUAAUGGGAAGAAGGCGAGGGGAGUGUGGAGGAAGGGCACCCAGGAAGUGGUCUGGGUGGGUCAGUGGGAAGGAGGAGAAAUUUUGCGAUCUACAGCUCUGGGGGAUCCCAGACCUUUAACCCCAAAUCCCUACCCAAGUCUUGUUAUUUUAAAGCCUACGCUCCAGUUUUAUUUCUGUUGAUUCACUUCUUUUUACAUUUCCCCCCCAAAUAUUACUAUUUUAACUCUUGACCUCCCUCUCCCACUCAUUACCCCUCUCCCCCAUAUAACCUCCCCAUCUCUAUGCACAGCGACCCUGGCCAUCAUUCCUGAGUCCUUGCUGCAUUCCUCCCUCCCACAGCAGGGCCACUACCUAGGCACAAAUGGGCACUUUUUCCAGCUCUGAGAUUACAUAUUGGGGUACAACUUGCCCUUGUACAUGGCUACUCAAAGUUAAUUGAGAAGAUGGAAUUUGGUAAAACACACAGAAACUUUAUUUAAUACAGACAGUUAUAAUUGAAAUCAUAGACAAGGAUCAAUACACAUAAUGAUUAGACUAAGGUAAGUAUAGUAAAGAGGGUCUUGCCUUAUGCAUACUUACAAGUUAUGGACACCAUUGGAAACAAAGAUCGAGGGGCAAGUGAGACCAUCAGAAUGGAGGCCCUGCUUCACUUUAUUCGGGGACCUGACAAAAUGAAAAAGUGGUAACUAGGAGAGGUAUUUUAUCCGCUUCCUUAUGGUAAUAGGAUGGCUAUAUACCAUAUCUGCUCCUUUACUCUGAUUACAAGAAUGUCAAUAGCUGCCCCAACCCAUAUGUGGCCUUUGGGAAGUCCAUAAUUAAGCAUCAAGCAUUAAUACUCAUCCUUUACAUCACUUAUUUAUUAAUUCCAAUCUAUGAAUGUGGUGCAACUGCUGAGAUACUCAUAGCAACCCAAUUGCUAAAGCCCACCCCAAACUUCCUUCUUUCAGAACCCUGUGGCGUAUUGCACCUGUUUGUGGUUCCUCAUUAGUCUCUCAAAAUCACGGUGCAAAAUAUCUGACCUGGGAUUCUCUCCUUAGGCCUAUUCAGCUGUCAGAUGGUGAUAUGAAUGGGUCAUUAAGGACGGGCUGGGACCAACCUACAUCAAUGGAAUACCCGACAAAGGAAUAAUUGUCACCUGUCCAUGGGAGGAUCUCCGCUUGGCUGACUGAAGCAUAUAUGGACACGUUAUGUUUUUGGGAGCAGGAAGAACUGUGCUCGCAGACGCAGGAAGCUCUGCCGGAGCAAAGAGAAAUGGACAGUCACAGUGAAAGGAAACCAAACUGUUUUCUACAGCAGAAUGGCUCAAGGGGUUUCCAGUUUCCAAACCUGAUGUGAUCUCGCAGCUGGAACGAGGGGAAGAGCUGUGGGUCCUGCACUUUCACGGCUCUGAGAAAUAAGUGCUCCCGAGAGCUGCCUGCACAGGGAGUGACCUAUGUCUGGAUUCUCUCUGUCUCCCAUCAGGUGUUGGGAUGGUGAGUGAGAACAAGGAGAAACCCCAGCAGGAAGAUGCUGAGCAAGUAGAAUCCCAUGGGAUGUUAUCAGGAAGAUCCAAAGGGAAUGAUUCCAGGAGUUGUGCACUCCCAGAAAAAGCAAAAACCUGUGAGAGUCAGCACAGGCCAGAGGGAAACUUCAGUAGCCACUCAGACCUUAUUACACGUGAGAGAAUCAACUUGAAAAAGACACGCUACACAUGCCAUGAGUGUGGGAAAAGCUUCAAUGGGAGCUCUGACUUUCU